rnacentral:sRNA from 1 species
GCCGGGUGUGGUGGCGCACACUUGUAAUCCCAGCUACUCGGGAGGCUGAGGCAGGAGAAUCACUUGAACCUGGGAGGCGGAGGUUGCGGUGAGCCAAGAUCACGCCAUUGCACUUCAGCCUGGGCAACAAGAGUGAAACUCCGUCUCAAAGAAAAAAAAAAUUUUUUUUUUUUUUUUUUUGAGACGGAGUCUCGCUCUGUCGCCCAGACUGGAGUGCAGUGGCCGGAUCUCAGCUCACUGCAAGCUCCGCCUCCCGGGUUUACGCUAUUCUCCUGCCUCAG